UACGUAGGCAGCAAGCGUUGUUCGGAGUUACUGGGCGUAAAGGGUGUGUAGGCGGUUCCUUAAGUUUGCUGUGAAAUCUCCCGGCUUAACCGGGAGGGUGCGGUGAAUACUGAGGGACUAGAGUACGGGAGAGGAAAGUGGAAUUCCUGGUGUAGCGGUGAAAUGCGCAGAUAUCAGGAGGAACACCGGUGGCGAAGGCGGGUCUCUGGGCCGUAACUGACGCUGAGAAGCGAAAGCAUGGGGAGCGAACAGG
rnacentral:rRNA from 1 species